AACGAACGCUUGCGGCAUUCCUAACACAUGCAAGUCGAACGAGACCUUCGGGUCUAGUGGCGCACGGGUGCGUAACGCGUGGGAACCUUCCCUUAGGUUCGGAAUAACUCCCCGAAAGGGGUGCUAAUACCGGAUAAUUUCUUCGGACCAAAGAUUUAUCGCCUUUGGAUGGGCCCGCGUUGGAUUAGCUAGUUGGUAGGGUAAAAGCCUACCAAGGCGACGAUCCAUAGCUGGUCUGAGAGGAUGAUCAGCCACACUGGGACUGAGACACGGCCCAGACUCCUACGGGAGGCAGCAGUGGGGAAUAUUGGACAAUGGGCGAAAGCCUGAUCCAGCAAUGCCGCGUGAGUGAUGAAGGCCUUAGGGUUGUAAAGCUCUUUUACCCGGGAUGAUAAUGACAGUACCGGGAGAAUAAGCUCCGGCUAACUCCGUG
rnacentral:rRNA from 1 species